rnacentral:miRNA from 1 species
GCCGUAGUCCUUGGGGUCU